CAAUAGCGUAUAUUAAAGUUGUUGCAGUUAAAAAGCUCGUAGUUGGAUUUCUGGUGGGAGCACGGGUCGGCCUUCACGGGUUGUACUGUUGUUGCGUCCUGCCGUUUCGGAGGGAAUGGUCAUGUUAUUAGGUUAGCGUGAUCGGAAACUCUGUCGUUUACUGUGAGAAAAUUAGAGUGUUUCAGGCAGGCUUUCGCCGGAAUACAUUAGCAUGGAAUAAUGGAAAAGGACUUCAACCUCUUCUGUUGGUCUGAGAGGCUGUAGUAAUGAUUAAUAGGGAUAGUUGGGGGCAUUAGUACUUAACUGUCAGAGGUGAAAUUCUCCGAUUUGUUAAAGACUAACUUAUGCGAAAGCAUUUGCCAAGGAUGUUUUCAUUAAUCAAGAACGAAAGUUAGGGGAUCGAAGAUGAUCAGAUACCAU
rnacentral:rRNA from 1 species